rnacentral:pre_miRNA from 1 species
UUUCUACUCCCUCCGUUCCACAAUACAUGCCUUCUAUUUGUCAAAAUAUAGAUGUAUCUAGACAUGUUUUAGUAUAUAGGUACAUCCAUUUUUGGAUAAAUGGAAGUCAAGUAUUUUGGAACGGAGGGAGUACACA